UACGUAGGGUGCAAGCGUUAAUCGGAAUUACUGGGCGUAAAGCGUGCGUAGGUGGUUCGUUAAGUCUGAUGUGAAAGCCCUGGGCUCAACCUGGGAAUGGCAUUGGAAACUGGCGACCUAGAGUGCGGUAGAGGGUAGUGGAAUUCCCGGUGUAGCAGUGAAAUGCGUAGAGAUCGGGAGGAACAUCUGUGGCGAAGGCGACUGCCUGGACCAGCACUGACACUGAGGCACGAAAGCGUGGGGAGCAAACAGG
rnacentral:rRNA from 1 species